rnacentral:rRNA from 1 species
ACGGGAGGCAGCAGUGGGGAAUAUUGCACAAUGGGCGAAAGCCUGAUGCAGCGACGCCGCGUGAGCGAUGAAGUAUUUCGGUAUGUAAAGCUCUAUCAGCAGGGAAGAUAAUGACGGUACCUGACUAAGAAGCACCGGCUAAAUACGUGCCAGCAGCCGCGGUAAUACGAGGGGUGCAAGCGUUGUUCGGAAUCACUGGGCGUAAAGGGAGCGUAGGCGGAAAAGCAAGCAGUCUGUACAAUCCCGGGGCCUAACCCCGGAUCUGCAGACUGGACUGUUUUUCUUGGAUAGUUCAGGGGCUGGCGGAAUUCCUGGUGUAGCGGUGGAAUGCGUAGAGAUCAGGAAGAACACCGAUGGCGAAGGCAGCCAGCUGGGGACUUAUCGACGCUGAGGCUCGAAAGUGCGGGUAGCAAACAGGAUUAGAUACCCUGGUA